rnacentral:rRNA from 1 species
AUGGGGUAAGACCUAUGCUUUUCUUGACUCUAAAAAGGUCUUGGAAUAAGAGGUGGGUAAGGACGGUGCCAGCCGCCGCGGUAAUACCGGCGCCUCAAGUGGUAGUCGCUUUUAUUGGGCCUAAAACGUCCGUAGCCGGUCUGAUACAUUCGUGGGUAAAUCAACCAGCUUAACUGGUUGAAUUCUGCGAGGACGGUCAGACUUGGGACCGGGAGAGGUGUGGGGUACGCUCAGGGUAGGGGUAAAAUCCUGUCAUCCUGAGCGGACCACCUGUUGCGAAGGCGCCACACUAGAACGGAUCCGACGGUCAGGGACGAAGCCUAGGGGCACGAACCGGAUUAAAUACCCGGGUAGUCCUAGGUGUAAACGCUGUGGACUUGAUGUUGGGGGUGCUCCGAGCACUCUCAGUGUCGAAGCGAAGGUGAUAAGUCCACUGCCUGGGAAGUACGGUCGCAAGGCUGAAACUUAAAGGA